GCACGUGUGGCCAAGUGGUAAGGCGCCGCACUCGUAUGAGAAUGAUAUGCGGAGAUCGAGGGUUCGAAUCCCUUCAUGUGCA